rnacentral:lncRNA from 1 species
GUUCAGUUGGCAAGGUGGAAAGGUGUGGACUAUCCAUUUAUCUACAUCUCCUUCAACCGGUACAUAUUGUAGAUUGAUAGUUCUGUGAAUCAGUAUCUCUCUGGUUUUUGACUUCAUGUCCACUCUUUAAUUUUAUGAAACUGCAAUGAGAAAGUCUAGUACUUGACUAAAUUUACAAACACCUGGACUCUUUAAUUUUAUGAAACUUCUAUAAGAAAGUCUAUUACUUGACUAAACUUACAAACACCUGGGAUCACUAGCCCUUUUGGAUGAUACCAAAUCAUCACUGUAGUAGCAUAAUAUGUUACGGCUGGUAAAGUUUUUGAAGCAAGCUGUUCUCCUAGUUUUUCCCUUCCUGGGUCAUAAAGUACAACAACAACAACUACCCAGUAUACUCCCACCAGGUGGGGUUUGGGAGGGUAAUAUGUAGACAAGCCUUACCCCUACCCGAAAGGGCAGAGAGGCUGUUUCCAAUCAACCCCCGGCUCAUAGGAUAAAAGGAAAAAACAACAGUAAAACAAAACAAAGACAAAAACAAAAACAAUAGAGCAUCAGUAACUCCAGCAGAAAUAGCGGAAAUAGCGUAAAAUAAUUAUCUAAACAUACGGAACAUAAAUACAAUCGCAUGCAAUACUAUCAUACAACAACUACCAUAACUAACCGCCAUAGGGGGGACAUACGCUAAAACACAAAUCAUCUAUGGGUAACCCUGCUGACCCACACCCNNNN